UUGCCACGCCCGCUCAGAAACUUAAAGGAAUUGACGGGGCCCGCACAAGCGGCGGAGCAUGUGGAUUAAUUCGAUGCAACGCGAAGAACCUUACCUGGGUUUGACAUAUACCGGAAAGCUGCAGAGAUGUGGCCCCCCUUGUGGUCGGUAUACAGGUGGUGCAUGGCUGUCGUCAGCUCGUGUCGUGAGAUGUUGGGUUAAGUCCCGCAACGAGCGCAACCCUUGCCUUUAGUUGCCAGCAGUUCGGCUGGGCACUCUAAAGGGACUGCCGGUGUUAAACCGGAGGAAGGUGGGGAUGACGUCAAGUCCUCAUGGCCUUUAUGACCAGGGCUACACACGUACUACAAUGGCCGAUACAAAGGGCAGCGACACUGCGAGGUGAAGCCAAUCCCGUAAAAUCGGUCUCAGUCCGGAUUGGAGUCUGCAACUCGACUCCAUGAAGUUGGAAUCGCUAGUAAUCGUGGAUCAGCAUGCCACGGUGAAUACGUUCCCGGGCCUU
rnacentral:rRNA from 1 species